UUUUUGGUAACAUUAAUAAUUGGUCAAUUGGUACUGGAAGAUAAAAUAUCAAGCGAGAUAUUUUAUUAUUACUUGAUAUUAUAUAUUAUAUAUAUUAUAUAUAUAAUUGUGUGGUGUAGAAAGAAAGAGAAGAAAAGUGGGUAAGAAGAAGAGAAGAUAUAUCAGAAAGAAGAAAAGAAAGGAAAGAAAAGAAAGAGGAAAAGAAGAAAGGAGAAAGUGGAAGAAGAGGAGAAGAAGAGGAAGGAACCA
rnacentral:lncRNA from 1 species